rnacentral:rRNA from 1 species
AGGUGCAUUGGUAGGAGAGCGUUCUAAGGGCGUUGAAGGCAGAUCGUGAGGACUGCUGGAGCGCUUAGAAGUGAGAAUGCCGGUAUGAGUAGCGAAAGACAGGUGAGAAUCCUGUCCACCGAAUGACUAAGGUUUCCUGGGGAAGGCUCGUCCGCCCAGGGUUAGUCGGGACCUAAGCCGAGGCCGACAGGCGUAGGCGAUGGACAACAGGUUGAUAUUCCUGUACCCGUUGUUUUUGUUUGAGCAAUGGAGGGACGCAGGAGGCUAAGAAGUGCAGACUGAUGGAUAUGUCUGUUCAAGCAGUAAGUCUUGGUAGGAGUCAAAUGCUUCUACCUAUACGGACAAGCUGUGAUGAGGAGGGAAAUAAUAGUACCGAAGCUUCUGAUGUCACACUGCCAAGAAAAGCUUCUAGUGAGAAAACAACGGCCCGUACCGCAAACCGACACAGGUAGUCGAGGAGAGAAUCCUAAGGUGAGCGAGAGAACUCUCGUUAAGGAACUCGGCAAAAUGACCCCGUAACUUCGGGAGAAGGGGUGCUGCUCUAACGAGCAGCCGCAGUGAAUAGGCCCAAGCGACUGUUUAUCAAAAACACAGGUCUCUGCAAAAUCGAAAGAUGACGUAUAGGGGCUGACGCCUGCCCGGUGCUGGAAGGUUAAGAGGAGUGCUUAGCGUAAGCGAAGGUACGAAUUGAAGCCCCAGUAAACGGCGGCCGUAACUAUAACGGUCCUAAGGUAGCGAAAUUCCUUGUCGGGUAAGUUCCGACCCGCACGAAAGGCGUAACGAUUUGGGCACUGUCUCAACGAGAGACUCGGUGAAAUUUUAGUACCUGUGAAGAUGCAGGUUACCCGCGACAGGACGGAAAGACCCCAUGGAGCUUUACUGUAGUUUGAUAUUGAGUGUCUGUACCGCAUGUACAGGAUAGGUAGGAGCCGUAGAGAUCGGGACGCCAGUUUCGAUGGAGGCAAUGGUGGGAUACUACCCUUGCGUUAUGGCCACUCUAACCC